UUAAGGCUGAGGCGUGAUGACGAGGCACUACGGUGCUGAAGUAACAAAUGCCCUGCUUCCAGGAAAAGCCUCUAAGCAUCAGGUAACAUCAAAUCGUACCCCAAACCGACACAGGUGGUCAGGUAGAGAAUACCAAGGCGCUUGAGAGAACUCGGGUGAAGGAACUAGGCAAAAUGGUGCCGUAACUUCGGGAGAAGGCACGCUGACAUGUAGGUGAAGC
rnacentral:rRNA from 1 species